rnacentral:rRNA from 1 species
UACGGAGGGAGCUAGCGUUGUUCGGAUAUACUGGGCGUAAAGCGCACGUAGGCGGCGCCGUAAGUCAGGGGUGAAAUCCCGGAGCUCAACUCCGGAACUGCCCUUGAAACUGCAGUGCUAGAAUCUUGGAGAGGCGAGUGGAAUUCCGAGUGUAGAGGUGAAAUUCGUAGAUAUUCGGAAGGACACCAGUGGCGAAGGCGACUCGCUGGACAAGUAUUGACGCUGAGGUGCGAAAGCGUGGGGAGCAAACAGG